UACGUAGGGGGCUAGCGUUGUCCGGAAUCAUUGGGCGUAAAGAGCGCGUAGGCGGCCAGAUAAGUCCGGUGUGAAAGUCACAGGCUCAACCUGUGAAUGCCGCUGGAAACUGUCUGGCUAGAGUCCGGAAGAGGCGAGUGGAAUUCCUGGUGUAGCGGUGGAAUGCGCAGAUAUCAGGAGGAACACCAAUAGCGAAGGCAGCUCGCUGGGACGGUACUGACGCUAAGGCGCGAAAGCGUGGGGAGCGAACAGG
rnacentral:rRNA from 1 species